GAGUUUCUGUGGAAACUCGUGAAAAAGUAAACCCUACAAGGAUAUAUCAGGGGGCUGUCCCUGGUGAUGGUGAGCAAGCUCAAUACGAUUGAGAAGCCUAAAGUCGCUAACACGGUCACCCACCUUAAUAAGACUGGGUUUAUUGUUCACCGAGAUCCACAGAACUUUU
rnacentral:other from 1 species